AGUUAAAACAAGAAAUUUAUUGAAAGCACCAUGAGCCACUAGGCCCCAUGCUUCUAAGCACAUUGCGGCUGCCUCACAACAGCCCUGUGAGGUAGGAACCUGAGCCCAUUUCACAGAUGUAGACUCAACAGUGAAGACACAACAGCCUUUCUCCCACCCCCCCAAGUCUCAGGGUCCAUGGGUAGGGAUCAAGGCCACAUGCCUGACCCCAGGGUCAGCGCAGUUCAUCAGUCAGUAGGUGGGUCUCUCUACUCAAGGGGAGGCCAGGGUCCAGAGUCUUGGGUCCAGCAUGUCCCACAGGAAAUGUGCAAGGCGUCCCCGUGGCUGUAGAGGCUGAGAGAGACACAGCUGCAGAUGAAGCCAUCUGCUCCCCAUCCCCAUGGCAGAUAAAGAGUUUUCAUGCACUAGGCAGGGUAGGAACUGGAGGACUGGGGAUGGAAUCCAACAUCAUGGAAAGAGCCUCGUGGGAAAUGUGAAUCUCAGACAGACAUGGACUGGGACACUCCGGGACUGGGAGACCUGGGAGGACACAGCCUCCUUGCUCCUCCCUCCAUGCCUUACCCUGCCAGGAAAAUACUAGGUGGAUAGUGGGACACAAAGCAGAAGGGAGACCAUUCUGAGUGCAUGCCAGGAUCAGGCAGGGGUGAGCCUAAGACACUGGGCUUGCUGAGGUUUUAUUUGGUGGAGUGGAAAGAGUUAUUCACACAUAACAUGACUAUUGUCCCUGGUUCUCAGUCUGCCCAUCCAUAGAAUGGGACCAUGCUGAGGACAACAGUAAAGUGUGUAAACCUAAGCUCAGUCCAAAGCAGAAUUUGGUGUAGAGAAAGCUAAUUUUUCUCAUCUCCUGGCAGGGGAAGAAAGGGGGAGCGGGGAGGAGAACAGCCACCCAGACCUACCAGCUAAAAGUGAGAGAGCAGUAAGAAAAAAUUCAAGGAUGUCAUAAUUUGGAAGCCCCUCUAUUGACCCUUGGUUCUUGGCACUGUCCCAGGGGGCAGAUAUGCACACACCACAUACACAGAAACACAAGCUUGAAGAAGCAUCUACCAACAGACACCACCCCUCCUAAUGCCCCAAAGCAUAGUGGCCCAGCCAGCUUUGGCCUUCACACAACCAGCAGCACCAGCCACCAUGAUGGAAAGGAAGGGAAGGCCAGGGCACCACAGAGGGACUUAGACGCUAACAUGCAUGAAUGAACCACACCAGAUUUAGCCAGGACCACACAGCCAGC
ensembl:lincRNA Gm26906 predicted gene, 26906